UACGUAGGGUGCAAGCGUUGUCCGGAAUUAUUGGGCGUAAAGAGCUCGUAGGCGGCUUGUCACGUCGACUGUGAAAACCCGCAGCUCAACUGUGGGCUUGCAGCCGAUACGGGCGGGCUGGAGUUCGGUAGGGGAGACUGGAAUUCCUGGUGUAGCGGUGAAAUGCGCAGAUAUCAGGAGGAACACCGGUGGCGAAGGCGGGUCUCUGGGCCGAUACUGACGCUGAGGAGCGAAAGCGUGGGGAGCGAACAGG
rnacentral:rRNA from 1 species